AUUGAACGCUGGCGGCAGGCCUAACACAUGCAAGUAGAACGCAGUUGCGAACGGGUGAGUAACGAGGUAACCUGCCUCAUAGCGGGGGAUAACUAUUGGAAAAGAUAGCUAAUAACGCAUACUGUGAGAUGGACCUGCGUUGUAUUAGGUAGUUGGGGAGGUAAAGGCUCACCAAGGCGACGAUACAUAGCCGACCUGAGAGGGUGAUCGGCCACGAUGGGACUGAGAAACGGCCCAGACUCCUACGGGAGGGAGCAGGAGGUAAUCUUCGGCAAUGGGCGGAAGUCUGAACGAGCAACGCCGCGGGAGUGAAGAAGGUCUUUGGAUCGUAAAGCUCUGUUGUUAGGGGAGCGUUAACUAACCAGAAAGCGACGGCUAACUACGUGCCAGCAGCCGCGGUAAUAC
rnacentral:rRNA from 1 species